GCCGAUGUAGCUCAGUGGUAGAGCAGCUGUUUCGUAAACAGCAGGUCGUCAGUUCGAUCCUGACCAUCGGCU
rnacentral:tRNA from 1 species